CCUGAUGGCUCAGAUGGUAAAGAAUCUGCCUGCAAUGCAGGAGACCCAGGUUUGAUUCCUGGGUCAGGA
rnacentral:tRNA from 1 species